rnacentral:rRNA from 1 species
GACGGACGCUGGCGGCGUGCUUAACACAUGCAAGUCGAGCGGAAAGGCCACUUCGGUGGUACUCGAGCGGCGAACGGGUGAGUAACACGUGAGUAAUCUGCCCCUGGCUUUGGGAUAGCCACCGGAAACGGUGAUUAAUACCGGAUACGACCACUUCUCGCAUGGGAUGGUGGUGGAAAGUUUUUUCGGCCAGGGAUGUGCUCGCGGCCUAUCAGCUUGAUGGUGAGGUAAUGGCUCACCAUGGCUUCGACGGGUAGCCGGCCUGAGAGGGUGACCGGUCACACUGGGACUGAGACACGGCCCAGACUCCUACGGGAGGCAGCAGUGGUGAAUAUUGGACAAUGGGCGGAAGCCUGAUCCAGCAACGCCGCGUGAGGGAUGACGGCCUUCGGGUUGUAAACCUCUUUCAGCAGGGACGAAGCGCAAGUGACGGUACCUGCAGAAGAAGCACCGGCCAACUACGUGCCAGCCGCCGCAGUAA